GGACGACUUCGCGGGCGGCGAAGUCGAGGACGGCGCGGACCUGUUCGCCGUGUUCGGUGGGUACGGCGGCCGGGUCCCAGCCGGCGUCCUCCA
rnacentral:tRNA from 1 species